GGGGAUGAUCGGCCUAGACAAAAGACUGAUUGUCUGCACGCAAGGCAGAGCUCCAAGAACUCUCAAAAAGCUUGGAAACUUCUAAGUGCAAACAACUUAGUUGCAAAAGCAAAAUCAGUUGUAUCUCCGUAUUUCGGGGCCAACCAAUUUGCUUUCGCUCACGCUUAAUAAAGCUCGAGCGACAUCUCUUCUUUCGACUUCCGAUAAAGAGUUAGAGGUGUAAUAUUUUCGGGAUAGAGAUUGAAUUGUCUCAUUCAAUUUUCGAAACUUAUGGGGCUCGGUGAAUAAGUGUUUUGUUUGUUUUAAAGCUUAUUCAUUUAAAUCCGCUGUAAGCGGAAAAAACAAACUAUGCCUUGUAGAGAAGUACAUUUAAUCACCUUUUGCACGCGAGUUCGAUUCUCGCCAUCUCCA
rnacentral:tmRNA from 15 species